UACGUAGGGUGCAAGCGUUGUCCGGAAUUAUUGGGCGUAAAGAGCUCGUAGGCGGUUUGUCGCGUCUGCUGUGAAAACCCGAGGCUCAACCUCGGGCCUGCAGUGGGGUACGGGCAGACUAGAGUGCGGUAGGGGAGAUUGGAAUUCCUGGUGUAGCGGUGGAAUGCGCAGAUAUCAGGAGGAACACCGGUGGCGAAGGCGGGUCUCUGGGCCGAUACUGACGCUGAGGAGCGAAAGCGUGGGGAGCGAACAGG
rnacentral:rRNA from 1 species